GACGAACGCUGGCGGCGUGCUUAACACAUGCAAGUCGAACGGAAAGGCCCUGCUUUUGUGGGCUGCUCGAGUGGCGAACGGGUGAGUAACACGUGAGUAACCUGCCCUUGACUUUGGGAUAACUUCAGGAAACUGGGGCUAAUACCGGCUAGGAGCUCCUGCUGCAUGGUGGGGGUUGGAAAGUUUCGGCGGUUGGGGAUGGACUCGCGGCUUAUCAGCUUGUUGGUUGGGUAGUGGCUUACCAAGGCUUUGACGGGUAGCCGGCCUGAGAGGGUGACCGGCCACAUUGGGACUGAGAUACGGCCCAGACUCCUACGGGAGGCAGCAGUGGGGAAUAUUGCACAAUGGGCGGAAGCCUGAUGCAGCAACGCCGCGUGCGGGAUGACGGCCUUCGGGUUGUAAACCGCUUUCGCCUGUGACGAAGCGUGAGUGACGGUAAUGGGUGAAGAAGCACCGGCUAACUACGUG
rnacentral:rRNA from 1 species